GGAUGCGAUCAUACCAGCACUAACGCACCGGAUCCUAUCAGAACUCCGAAGUUAAGCGUGCUUGGGCGAGAGUAGUACUAGGAUGGGUGACCCCCUGGGAAGUCCUCGUGUUGCAUCCC
rnacentral:rRNA from 1 species